rnacentral:rRNA from 1 species
GAUGAACGCUGGCGGCGUGCUUAACACAUGCAAGUCGAACGGUGAAGCAGGAGCUUGCUCUUGUGGAUCAGUGGCGAACGGGUGAGUAACACGUGAGCAACCUGCCCCUGACUCUGGGAUAAGCGCUGGACACGGCGUCUAAUACUGGCUAUGUCAUGUGACCGCAUGGUCUGCAUCUGGAAAGAACUUCGGUGGGGGAUGGGCUCGCGGCCUAUCAGAUUGUAGGUGCGGUAAUGGCUCACCAAGGCGUCGACGGGUAGUCGGCCUGGGAGGGGGACCGGCCACACUGGGACUGAGACACGGCCCAGACUCCUACGGGAGGCAGCAGUGGGGAAUAUUGCACAAUGGGCGGAAGCCUGAUGCAGCAACGCCGCGUGAGGGAUGACGGCCUUCGGGUUGUAAACCUCUUUUAGCAGGGAAGAAGCGAAAGUGACGGUACCUGCAGAAAAAGCACCGGCUAACUACGUGCCAGCCGCCGCGGUAA